rnacentral:rRNA from 1 species
UAAGCCAUGCAUGUCUAUGCACACGCCCUUGAAUGGUGAAGCCGCGAAAAGCUCAUUACAACAGCCAUAGUUUAUUGGAUGUUUACGUUCCUACAGGGACACCUGCGGUAAUUCUGGAGCUAAUACUUGCGAAAUGCGACAACCUCACGGGAGUCGUGCAUUUAUUAGAUUAAACCAAUUGGUCCUUCGGGACCGCCAUUUGGUGAACUCUGAAUAACUUAGCUGAUCGCGCAGUCUCGUACUGGCGACAAAUCUUUCAAGUGUCUGCCUUAUCAACUUUCGAUGGUAGUUUAUACGACUACCAUGGCUGUAACGGGUAACGGAGAAUAAGGGUUCGACUCCGGAGAGGGAGCCUGAGAAACGGCUACCACAUCCAAGGAAGGCAGCAGGCGCGCAAAUUACCCACUCGCAGAACGCGGAGGUAGUGACGAAAAAUAACGAGGUGGCUCUCUAUGAGGUCCAUCAUCGGAAUGGGUACAAUUUAAAUCCUUUAACGAGGAUCUAUUGGAGGGCAAGUCUGGUGCCAGCAGCCGCGGUAAUUCCAGCUCCAAUAGCGUAUACUAAAGUUGUUGCGGUUAAAAAGCUCGUAGUUGGAUCUGCGCUCGGUGAAAGCGGUCGCCCGAUGGGUUGUUACUGCUUCUCCCGGGCUAACCAUUCGGUUUUCCCUUGAUGCUCUUAACUGAGUGUCCUGGGUGACCGGAACGUUUACUUUGAAAAAAUUAGAGUGCUCAAAGCAGGCGAUUUGCCAGAAUAUUCGUGCAUGGAAUAAUAAAAGAGGUCCUUGUAGCCUUUUAUUGGUUAUCGCUACGAGGAAAUGAUCGAGGGGGACAGACGGGGGCAUUUGUAUUGCGACGUUAGAGGUGAAAUUCUUGGAUCGUCGCAAGACAAACUACUGCGAAAGCAUUUGCCAAGAAUG